rnacentral:tRNA from 1 species
GCCGAAGUGGUGAAAUUGGUAUACGCGCAUGAUUCAGGUUCAUGUGGGGCGACCCGUGCGGGUUCGAGUCCCGCCUUCGGCA